rnacentral:rRNA from 1 species
UGCGUAGGCGGGUCUUUAAGUCAGAGGUGAAAUCCUGGAGCUCAACUCCAGAACUGCCUUUGAUACUGAGGAUCUUGAGUUCGGGAGAGGUGAGUGGAACUGCGAGUGUAGAGGUGAAAUUCGUAGAUAUUCGCAAGAACACCAGUGGCGAAGGCGGCUCACUGGCCCGAUACUGACGCUGAGGACACGAAAGGCGUGGGAAGCAAACA